rnacentral:rRNA from 1 species
GAGUUUGAUCAUGGCUCAGGACGAACGCUGGCGGCGUGCCUAACACAUGCAAGUCGAGCGGAAAGGCUCCUUCGGGAGUACUCGAGCGGCGAACGGGUGAGUAACACGUGGGUAAUCUGCCCAGGACACAGGAAUAACCAGUGGAAACGCUGGCUAAUGCCUGAUGAAGUGCCGGCCUUGCGGGGCUCGGUACCAAAGGUAGCUUCGGCCUCCGGUCUUGGAUGAGCCCGCGGCCCAUUAGCUUGUUGGCGGGGUAACGGCCCACCAAGGCGACGAUGGGUAGCUGGUCUGAGAGGACGAUCAGCCACACUGGGACUGAGACACGGCCCAGACUCCUACGGGAGGCAGCAGUGGGGAAUCUUGCGCAAUGGGCGAAAGCCUGACGCAGCAACGCCGCGUGC